rnacentral:rRNA from 1 species
CGAACGCUGGCGGCGUGCUUAACACAUGCAAAUCGAACGGAAAGGCCCUGCUUGCAGGGUACUCGAGUGGCGAACGGGUGAGUAACACGUGGGUGAUCUGCCCUGCACUUCGGGAUAAGCCUGGGAAACUGGGUCUAAUACCGGAUAGGAGCCAUUUUUAGUGUGAUGGUUGGAAAGUUUUUUCGGUGUAGGAUGAGCUCGCGGCCUAUCAGCUUGUUGGUGGGGUAAUGGCCUACCAAGGCGGCGACGGGUAGCCGGCCUGAGAGGGUGGACGGCCACAUUGGGACUGAGAUACGGCCCAGACUCCUACGGGAGGCAGCAGUGGGGAAUAUUGCACAAUGGGCGCAAGCCUGAUGCAGCGACGCCGCGUGGGGGAUGACGGCCUUCGGGUUGUAAACUCCUUUCGCUAGGGACGAAGCUUUUUGUGACGGUACCUAGAUAAGAAGCACCGGCUAACUACGUG